rnacentral:rRNA from 1 species
CAGUAGCGCGGGAAUACGAAGGGUGCAAGCGUUAAUCGGAAUUACUGGGCGUAAAGCGUGCGUAGGCGGUUUGUUAAGUCUGCUGUGAAAUCCCCGGGCUCAACCUGGGAAUGGCAGUGGAUACUGGCAAGCUAGAGUGUGUCAGAGGAUGGUGGAAUUCCCGGUGUAGCGGUGAAAUGCGUAGAGAUCGGGAGGAACAUCAGUGGCGAAGGCGGCCAUCUGGGACAACACUGACGCUGAGGCACGAAAGCGUGGGGAGCAAACAGGAUUAGAUACCCCGGUAGUCCCUGUCUCUUAUACC